rnacentral:misc_RNA from 1 species
GGAAGGAUCAUUAACACGUAUCCACGUUAUCAACCAACGAGAACUCGUUUUCAACUCCUCCCUUCGCAGAGAAUGAAUUGGAAUGCGCUUAGAGAUAAUUGUUUGGGAGAUCUUCACCGGCCUCAGUCUCUACUCAUCACUUAUGCCGAUCGAAAGGUCGUGCAUAGACAAUUGUAUUUCUGUGAAGGCUACGUCUCGUCCACUCUGAUCUCCGAACAAGACAGUGGGUGGCGAGAUAACCUAUUCACCUAUUUCACCCCCUUUUUGCUAGUUGACUUUUUAUAUGUUGUUCUUUACGCAAGUAAGGUUCACACGUUUAAUUACUUGAACGUUAAAAAUACAACUCUUAGCAAUGGAUAUCUUGGUUCUCGCAACGAUGAAGAACGCAGCGAAAUGCGAUACGUAAUGCGAAUUGCAGAAUUCAGUGAAUCAUCAAAUCUUUGAACGCAAAUUGCGCUCUUGGGUAGCCCUAGGAGCACGCCUCUCUCAGUAUCGGUUCAACAAUCUCUCAGCAGCGUGUACAAUGAGAACUCGUUCUCGGAACUAUGCGUGUUGGCUGGAUAAUGAGAGUCUGAGUGCUUUGUUGCUCAGUCUCUUUAAAUACAUGGAGUGAACAUAUGACUAACGAUCAGCUCUUGCCUUCGGGCGGGAUAGUCAGCCUCUGACUGUUGUUCGAUAGUGACGUGAAUAUUGGCCUUCAUUGGUCUCCUUUUUACGUUUAUCUAUCGAAUGAUACUUAAAGUCGGUGAUUGGUGAACGAUCGACCUAGUGGAAUGCUUUCGCGUUGGAACACCAUAUGAUUGUAGUGUCUAAUUCAUUUUAGCCUCUGCGGUCUGAAUUUUGAUCUGAGAUGAAGCGAGACAACCCCCUGAAUUUAAGCAUAUUAAUAAGGGGAGGAAAAGAAACUAACAAGGAUUCCCCCAGUAACGGCGAGUGAAGCGGGAAGAGCUCAAUUUGAAAAUCGAUUACCUAAACGGGUCAUCGAAUUGUAGCCUAGAGACGUACUAUCAGCUGAAACCUGGGUAUAAGUUCUUUGGAAUGAGGCAUCAUAGAGGGUGAGAAUCCCGUUUAUGACCCAAAGCUUUCAGCGUACGAUGUAUGUUCAUCGAGUCGAGUUGUUUGGGAUUGCAGCUCUAAAUGGGUGGUAAGUUUCAUCUAAAGCUAAAUAAUGGCGAGAGACCGAUAGCGAACAAGUACCGUGAGGGAAAGAUGAAAAGAACUUUGAAAAGAGAGUUAAAAGUACUUGAAAUUGCUAAGAGGGAAGCGCUAAAAACCAGUGAUACGCUAGGUCAAUCGCUUUCGGCCCCACUAGUUGGUGUAAGUAAUGGGCAACCUUGCUUGCGCCACCGAAAGGGUGGUCGGAGGUUUAUGAUCUAGUGUCAGUCAAGAUCAAUUCGGAUUGUGGGAGAAGGUAGCGAGAAAGGUAGGAGAGCAAUCUCUGUUAUAUUCUUGUUACUCUACCUCGGCCUGGAUUGAGGAAGUAAUGGUGCGCCGCUUGCGGCUUGGUCCUGCGUCUCUAUUGUCCUAUUUGCUCUGAUAGCAAUGCUAUCUCUGUGGAAAAAGGCAAUACUGGGCGUAGUGAUUCUAUGUGCCAUCACGAUCUUGUACGAAAUGGUUUUUAUCGACCCGUCUUGAAACACGGACCAAGGAGUCUAACAUCUAUGCAAGUAUUUGGGUGCAAAACCCUGAUGCGUAAUGAAAGUAAAGGUAGACUUGUUCUACUGAGGUAGGAAUCCCGCAAGGGAGGCACUAUCGACCGAUCAUCACUUGUGAAAGAUUUGAGUAAGAGCAUAUCUGUUGGGACCCGAAAGAUGGUGAUCUAUGCCUGAACAGGGUGAAGCCAGGGGAAACUCUGGUGGAGGCUCGUAGCGAUACUGACGUGCAAAUCGUUCGUCUGAUUUGGGUAUAGGGGCGAAAGACUAAUCGAACCAUCUAGUAGCUGGUUCCCUC